UGAGCAAUCUGCCCUUCUCUUUUGAAUAAGCGUUGGAAACGACGUCUAAUGCCGAAUACGACCUCCUUUCGCAUGAUCGGAGGUGGAAAGCUCCGGCGGAGAAGGAUGAGCUCGCGGCCUAUCAGCUAGUUGGUGUGGGUAAUGGCCCACCAAGGCGACGACGGGUAGCCGGCCUGAGAGGGUGACCGGCCACACUGGGACUGAGACACGGCCCAGACUCCGUACGGGAGGNAGCG
rnacentral:rRNA from 1 species